rnacentral:rRNA from 1 species
CUCUGGUGUACCAGUUGUCCUGCCAAGGGCAUGGCUGGGUAGCUAUGUACGGAAUGGAUAAGCGCUGAAAGCAUCUAAGCGCGAAGCCAACUUCAAGAUAAGAUUUCCCACCGCAAGGGUAAGACCCCAGAAAGACUAUCUGGUUGAUAGGUCGAAGGUGUAAGUGCAGCAAUGUAUUUAGCUUAUCGAUACUAAUAGGUCGAGGACUUGACCAA